rnacentral:lncRNA from 1 species
AGAUUCUCAAUUCAAUUUUUGAAGAGUAUAAUAUUGUUAUCACAUCAAUAGAAAACCAAAAUCAUCCUCCUUCAAUCCAUGAACUGGAACAAUUUAUGUUAACUUUUGAAUCUAGGUUAGCUAAGAAUAAACAUAGGACUGUUUCUGUUGCUCUAUCAGCAAAUGUGGCUGCACAAUCCCCACCACAAUCACCUCUCUCGGUUUCAUUGCAAAUAGUAUUAUACUCUUCAUUUAAGCCAUCUAAGAUACAGUCAACAUUUUCUUCUAAGGUAAUAGGAGUACCGAUUGAGAUUAGAGAAUCGGUUAGAGUUUUUACCUUUGAGAAGAACUCUAAGAUACAGUCACAUUAAUAGAAAGCCAAAAUCACCUUCCUUCAAUCCAUAAUCUAGAACAAUUUCUGCUAACUUUUGAAUCUAGGUUAGCUAAGAAUAAACAUAGGACUGUUUAUGUUGCCCUAUCAGCAAAUGUGGCUACACAAUCCCCACCACAAUCACCUCUCUCAGUUUCAAUGCAACCACCACAGGGUGAUAUGUAUAAUCCUGCAUCUCAUGCUAUGAAUUAUACUCAGUCAUUGAGACAACAAAAUAGCUUUAAUUCUAGUAGAGGAUAUCAUGGGUUUGGUAGACGAGGUGGUAGACGUGGAACCUCUGCUAGGAAUUCCACUAGGCCAAAUAGUUUCUAUUGUGAUUACUGUAGGAAACCUCGCCAUGACAUAACCUGGUGUUACUAUGCCCCUUGUGAUGCUGCAACUGGACCAGUAACACCAUCUGAGGCUUAUGGAAAUUAUACUCAACAGUAUGCAAUGCCUCCUAUGAGUAACUAUCCUCAUUACUCGAAUCAUUACAAUAGUCUAGUUGUGAUGCAAUACAACUACAACAUUCAUAUUCUUCCACCUGCUACAUUUC